rnacentral:lncRNA from 1 species
GCUGUAUUAAAAUUUUCAUUUACAUAAGUAGCCCGAAAGAGGGGUUACACGCACUAGUUCUAUAUAAGAAAAUAUGCUUUGAGUGUUUUAAUUUAAAUUGAAGAAAAAUCUUCAGAUUCUUAAUGCAGAAGAAAUUUUUCGACUUCACUUGUAUUCAGAGACAUUCGAAUGAAAACAGCAAACUGUAUAACACCCAUCAGACUGGCAGAAUAAGAAAGCUAGUGUCUGAGUCCCCUAGUACUGUGACAGCAAAAGGUUCCAGAGCCACCUGUUUGUUGGCUUACGAACAAGAUACUGCCCUCUGUUCUAGGCUAAGCAGUCCAGUAUGAUCCAUUUCCUUGUUCACUGAACAGUGAACCUCAAGCUGUGUCCUAAGACUGCAGAAGGGGCAGGCAGAGCUCUGGGACCUCCACUAUUAAAGCCCUGAUCCCAUUGUAAAAUCCUUGAACUGGUGACCUGAUCUCCUCCUGAGGCCCUGGCUCUCAGCACCAUCACUUGGGGGAUUGGGCUUCAACAUAUGAAUUUUGGCACGACAGGAACAUUCCAUCCAAAGCACCAAAUGUAACUGUGCCUUGGUAGGAAGUGGAGAGACCCAUGUGCUGAGGUGGCCCUUUGCCAUGACUUUGUACAAGAUGGAUUGGAGAACCACCAGCCAUCUCUCCCAUGCCAGGCCCGUGCCCCAAGGAAGCCUACAGAUCCAUGAAGUCAUAUUCAUGAUAAUAGGAAGGCAGGGA